GUCUUUGCAGUCAUUCUGUCUCUCUUGGUUGUUUUGUGCAGUUAAUCCAGUUGGAGCUAAAUGACAGUCUCCCCCCGGCGCCUCCUCUACCUGUACAGGUAUUUCCUGGUCCUGUCCGGAGGCCAGAGUGGUGAAGACGUACGAGAUCUCAGCGUGGGAGGUGGUCUGUCUGCAGAUGGCACACUUGAUGGCUCUGCGUCUGGAGCCCACGCUGUACUGCUCCACGAUGAUGGCGAUGCACUCGUUGCAGAAGCAGUGACCGCAGGUUGUUGAGGUAGAGGAACUGUCCCAGCUUCUUCUGCAGCUGAGACUUAGCGAGCGCCUGAUCGUUCAGCAGCUUCUGCCGGUUCUGCUCCACCUGACGGAGGUACAAGCAUUCAGACAUUCAGACAAAAACCAGGAGCCCAGCACCGGGUCAGAGGGAGGAGCUUAACCAUCAUCCAUCGGCUCGAUGAUGUGCAGCAGUUUGGGUUUGGGUUCAUCGGGCAGACGAACUCGAAGUCUCUCCGUCGCCAUGCCGAGCUCAUCGAUGGCCGACACGUGAUUCCUGAGAACCAUCCAGUACUCGUGCAGCACCUGAGGGACACACAGCACUCGAACAGCUCCAUGAAGGUGUUGCCCUCCUCCAGCAGCUCGGGGUCCAGGCGCUUCAGUUUGGCGAAGGCGAGGACGGCCUUCAGGCUGCGCUCCGUCUCGCUGGCGGCCCACAAUCCUCUGCUGGUGGUGGGCAGCCGGUCGUCCAUCAGACCCUCCUCGUCCUCAAUCAUCUCCUCGAAGAUCGCUGUCUGACC